GCAAUCUACCUUUUACAGAGGGAUAGCCCAGAGAAAUUUGGAUUAAUACCUCAUAGUAUGCAGAGUUGGCAUCAACACUGUAUUAAAGUCACAACGGUAAAAGAUGAGCAUGCGUCCCAUUAGCUAGUUGGUAAGGUAACGGCUUACCAAGGCGACGAUGGGUAGGGGUCCUGAGGGGGAGAUC
rnacentral:rRNA from 1 species